CCUACUGCAAAACCAGCCCCAUGUGCUGGCCAAUAUUGAUGAGUUUUAUCAUCUGCGUUUACUGUUACCAACUCAAGAUGCUGAGUGACCUCAUCACCUGGGGGAGGGGUUUACUGUCAAAGAGGCGUGGCAUAUAAAUGGACUCAGUACAGGGGUGAGGAAGAGGGUGGGUGUGGCACACUGAAAACCCACCCACAAACUGCCACUCGGUCCUGACAAGGAUAAGACAGCGGAAAAAGAAGGAAAUGGCAGAUGAGGGAGGGACGGAAGGACUAUUUCCUCUUCAGAAUGUCUUCAAUUGAUUAUUUCUUCUUUUCGAACAUUUGGAGCUUGGUUAUUCUGUUGCAUUUGCUCAGCUUUCUUUGAUAUUUUUGGACUUAAAUCUGAUGGAAACUUGCAUGAUUGAUUUAAAAUAUAUAUAUAAAUACAUAUAACAGACAGAAGAUUUACUGUGGGAAGGGGGGUGAUAGCUCUCUUUUUUCCGUUCAGUUGGAAGUUCUUUCUCUCAUUUUCUCCCUGUUGCUCUCGCCAUGUCUACAGAUCUUUAUGUGCAGAUGGAGUUUAUAGAAUGUGUUUUCUAUGUUAUAUCCAUCUGAGGAUCCCAGAUGAUGUUCUGCACUGUUUAUUAUUACUUUGGAUUGCACUAAAAACGAGCCUGAAUGGUGAAAACUCCCUCAUUACGGCUCUGUCAGCCAUGGCUGCGAACAGAGAGAGAAAAGGGGCGAGAGACGUUCUCCUUUCCGAAGGCUUAAUUUGCUAUUGUCAAUAACAAUAGUUUCAGAAUGGAAACUAUCUUAAUGCAAUUGAUGAAGAUGACGGUGAUGCUGAUGAAGACAGGAGUGGUCAUGUGACUUUGUUGUCUUGUUUUCGAGAUUUUUGUCUGUUGUGGCCAUCUUGUUUCCAACUCUUUGUUUUUAUUUUCGUUCUAUUCACCACAGACUGGAGACUAUAAGGAUGCGCUCCUGGUAGCAUCCUGACGUUUACAUACUUGUGACCUCAGCUGAGUAGAAUAUUCCUAUCUGUAGUGAAUAGUUCGGGUCAGAGCUCAUAAAUGUUUCAAAAAAGAGAGUUGGAGCAUUCAGGAUACCCUCGGGCAGUUUCUGUGUCAGAGUUUUUCAGACAAAUUCAGGGUCCAUUCCAUAUUUAUUUCUCAACAGAAAAACUUGGUCACACAACGGUGUGGUCUGAAGAAACCGUUUUAUUGAGGGACAGUUUUAAACCCCUUGAAUUAUUUCACAGCUAAUGUAGAGUUAGUGCAAGUUAGUAUUUUGGGGGAUGAAUGUUGUUGUUUACUCUUUGUCCAUGUUGUGGUGCUGUUGCACAGCUUAAGCCAGGCUAGACUAUGGACAAACAAUCUCUUAUGAAAAUGCGGUUGCCAGAGGGUGCUUGCAGAACCGUCCCUCGCCAGGUGACGUAGCAGGUCUGUCGAAGCUUGACUCUGACUUUUUCAUCGACAGGAGUUUUUGAGAAUUUUGACCUAGGUAGUCUUUGAUCAAGUAACUGGAAAAGAUUCUUCCACCCUGCCUUCCUGUUCCCUGCCAUGGGCAGCUACUUAUGUCUUUGGCUGCCUGCUCAAUCUGAGACCCUUCCCCCCUUCUGCUCAGGAUACAAAAAUACAGCCAAACAUAUAUCUCACAGGCCUAUUCAGCCUCUCCUGCUGUCACUGAACCCGUCCAGCUGACCCCCACCCAUUGGACCAUCUCAAAACAUCAUAAAAGACCAAAUGUUUAUGAAAUAUCCCAUUACUCUCCAGAGGAGAAUUUUAUUGUGUGUGUGUAGGUUACUCUUUUAUAACUCAGGAGACUUGUGGAGCUCAGUAUCAACUCAAGUAUCAACAUUGUCUCAUGUGUUUCUCCUAAAUCCUUAGAAAAAAUCAAAAUAGACACAGAUAUGACAUAUGUUAAGAUGUGUUAUGAAUAUAUAGCUAUAAAAUUAACGUGGGUAGCAUAUCGUCUUUGGCUUUUGAUUGCAGACGUCUUGUUAGCAAAUCACUGAGCUUGAUUGAAACUCUAGAGGAGACACGUGUGAGAUCUUAAUCUCAGGAGAAAAACUCCAAAAGUCUCCCUUUUAUCUCUAGGAGAUGUUAAAGAGAUCUCAUUUAUAUAUCAGAUAUCAGAAGAAUCAUUAUAUGAAACCACAAGAAUUUGUUAGGUUUUCACUUUAAGCAGAUAAAAAUAUCUCAGAAUAACUCAUUGCAUUCACCUAGUUGUGAAGUCAGUUGGGCGGUUCUGUAUUUUCUUCUUUUCUUACCUUCCUUCUGUCUCAGAGUCAUAUGAAAUCCACACUACUUGUUUUCUUGAAACGGUUUGAAUAGUGUCAUUUCAUUUGAUCCCUUUUCCUCGCCAACCCAUAUCCAAGAUUUUUAGGGAGGAAACCACUGUUUUCUGGGUGUUUAUUGAUGUUUGGCCCAUAUUUACCUACAGGUGGCCCCCAGUUAGCCCCUGGUUUGAUGCCCAUGGGUCUAGAUGAACCUGCAGAGCCACAGUGCCUUCUGUUCUAGUGUCGCACACUAACCCUUCCCCUGCCUCUCUUCCCUCUCCCCUCCUUCUCUCUCUUAAUGUGAUGGACUCACACUACGCCUUAACAAGUCCCUAUGUCUGCGCUUCUGCUGGGCUUUUUAAAGACAGGGACGGUUAUAUGAUGGGGGAAGAUCCAAGUUACUCUGAGAGUAAUAAAGGGAAAUGGCAACCAAGUUCUGUCAGGGUGUCCUUCUCGACUCUCUGUCUCUCUUAGCAAUGCUUCCUCAAGUGGAUGGCAGCCAUUUUUUGAUUUGUCUCACCCUGCUUGUUCAGAGAGUUGCAUCGAACACCGGAGGGAUUGUUCUACUUCUCAGGUCUUUAGCAAAAGGACAGGAAGGCUUAUUUUUGUCAGGCAUGAAGGUUUGUUAGACCUUUUGCAUGGUUAAUAUAAUUCCCAUUUAGAAGUUCUCUUGGUCUUGUAUUCUUUUGCCGAAAACACUUGAAAUGCAGGAAAUUUGCUCCAUUUUAGCUCCAGAUGUUGGAUUAUUAAUACGGUUUGAUUUGUAUUAAUAAUUUUAAAAAAGAGAUAACAGAAGGUUGUGGUUUUUAAAGGAACGGUUCACCCAGAAAAAGGAACAUUCUGUCAUCAUUUACUCACAUCUCAUUCUAAACUAUUAUGAUAUUCUUUCUUCUAUAGAAUAGAAAAGGAGAUAUGUUAAAGAAUUAUUCUAGUUGCUCUUUUCAGUGCCGUUAAAAGGAAUAAGGAUUAAGGCUUUUAAGCUUUGAAAAGGACACAAAAGCACCAUGUAAAAUCUUGCUUUUAAAUAAAGAUUACAAGGACAUUAAUUAUUAACAAAAAAUGAGGUGCAUGGAUAAAUCAUUUAUAAUAAACAUUGCACUAUGUGGCAUGGAUAAAUCAUUUAUAAUAAACAUUGCACUAGUCCAAAGUUUUAUUACUGAAUAAAUCAGCUCAUCUUAGAUUAGAUAAAUGAAUAAAUGAGGGUGAAUAAAUGAAUAAAUCAAGAAUUUCCAGUGUUGGGUCCGCUGUCCCUUUAAGAGUUUACAAAUAUAAUUAAGACUGGUGCGUCAUUCUUUGGCUCUGCUUGUUCAUCAGUUUAGUUCUGACCCUCUUUUGCUGUCAGUGUCAAUGCCUUUAUUGCUUUUUGUUUUUGACUCGCAUCUUCAUUUUCUGUCUUAACAGAAAGCCAUUUUCAGUUUGCAUCAUCGUAGAUACACAACACAAUUGUAUCUGAGCAUGUCGUUUGUUUCGUAUUGUCGUAGUGGAACAAAGCUGUAUUUUCUUUCUGUUUCAUAUGAAAUAAGGGCUUUCCUUCAAUGGUUGAGUGCUGCCAAAACAAGUCACCCUCUAUGUAGCUACACCACUUCCUGUGGUCUCCCUUUGUACAGAACAGAAUUACAUGUGUGUGCAUGCUAAUGUGUGGGGGAACCGGAGAAAAGGGAGGGGGGUGAUGGGUAAUGUAGUUUUUCCCUGUAUGUAUGAGAGUGAGAACUUGAGGCACAGCUGUGGCCAGCACAGGCAAUGUGCAUGCCAAAAAAAAAAAAACACACAAAAAAAAAUCUAAUUAUAUUGUGCACCUAUGGUAAUUUAGUGCUGGGUUUGCCAAUCCAUUUCUGCUCAGCAUUUACCACGGCAUACUCCAUUAUCAUCCUCAUCUGAUCCAAAUCCAAGAUCGGAUACGAAUCCAUCGCCACUUUUUCCAGAAGAUUGGAGGGUUGGGUUCAUCCAUGUGACAGUGGGACGGUCGUCUGUGAGUGUGUGUGUGUGUGUGAACGAGUGUCUGCGAGCUGAUUUGAAGGCAAGUCGUUUUAUAGUGCCUUAAAUGAACAGUUUCCCAUCGCUGUUACACGACCGUAGAUACGAAGCCAUGGCGAAAGCGAAGAGGAUCAUCAUGUUUGUACCUCGACUGUCUAUCCAUGUCUAUUUAAGUUAUUUUGGUGGGCCUAUCAAUCUCUUUCUCUUCUGUAACUCUUGUAUAUCUCAUUCAUAAACUUCCUGCAACACUCUGUGUUUUCAUUCUCUUUCUUCAGCAUUGCCAUGAUCCUUUCUAUUUCAUUUCCUCCUCUUCUUUAUGCAUGUCAUGGUUUCUUCAUUCUAACGUAUUGCUGAUUCAAUAUUGAGCUUAUAUUGAUAAUUAAUACAGAAGAAAUAUCAUUUUCAUAUGUGUUAAUAGUAAUGCUCAUAGUAACAAUAAUUAAAAGAUCGUUAUUACAUAGUCAUAAUUAUAAUAACAUAACACAAUUAUUACACAAUUUGAGUUGCGAGCACAAUUAAAUUUCAUAAUUUACUGUCAUGCCAAUCCAAACCUGCAUGACUUUCUUUCUUCUGUGGAGCACAAAAGAAGAUAUUUCAUAACAAUAUCAGUAUUUUUAGUGUGUACAAUGAUAGUCAUUGGGGUCCAAUGUUGCCGUUUUCUUCAAAAUAUCUUCUUUCCGCAAAUUGAAAGAAAGUCAUACGAUAUUAGGGUGAGUUGAUGACAGUUUUCAGAUUUAAGUGAAAGAUCCCUUUAAGAGAACCAAUGCCAGAAUAGAUACUUUGCUCUCAACUAAAAACAAAAAACCUUGUAGAAUUAAAAGACAGAAAGCAACAGAUUUCACUUAAAAGAGAUUUCAAUGAAUGUUGCGGUUCUGGAUCACAAGACAGGAAGUGCGUUUUCAGCCCCGUCAGCAGGAGUGGGUUUCUUCACAGCACUGUUGAAGGGGAAAUAAGCGUGUGGUGUGAAUGUGUGAGUAUGUGGGGAGUUCCUGCGAGCGUGCAACCACUGUCACCGUGACACCCACAAACCCGUCCAAUCUCUACUUAAUCACCCAUAUCCCACCCGCCAUCCAUAUUACUAUUGACCUGAACCAUUUAAAAGCAAAAGAGGAAGUUUAAAGAGAAAAAAAGACCAUGAUAAAGAGAGGUAUUUAAUUACUGAUUUGCAUGUGCAACGUGCAUGCCACUAUGUGGGUUAACAAGUCAACUUCAGGAAUUAUAAAAUAUAAAAAGAAAUAUAAAGAAAAAGAGUAUAAAUGUAUAAAUAUAUAAAUAUAGUUAGAUGUUUUUAUGAGCAAUGUGUUCCUUUUUUCUUCUAUUUUUAAAAAUGAAAACGACAAAAAAAGAGCACCAAGAGGGGAAAAAAUAAUAAUAAUACAGGAAACAUGAUAAAACUCAUAGAAUGUUUGUUUCUAGUACCAACUGUUCUCUGAGAAGCUUGGGUAAGGUGAGCACACAACAUUCUGUGGAAAUGUAUUACAGAAUUUUGAAAAAAUAAAAAUAGACUCUAAGUAUGAGGGACUGCACAUCACUCUGAUUUAAGAAGAAAUCCAAAACCCUUUUGCUGAUGUUGAGCUGUGAAAGAGGCUGCCUGAACCUGGUGAUGUUAUACAUUUAUUCUGGCUAUGAAAAAUCCCCCCUUUUUCUCUCUCUUCCUCUGUCUCUCUAUCUCUCUGAUAUUUCUACCAGUGCAUUUUGUAAUUCCGAACAGAUCUCUUCCUAAAGAACCUGAAUAAAAACCAGAGAGAAUGCAUUCUAAA